AAAAAGAUAAGCUAAUAAAGCUAAUGGGUUCAUACCCCAUAGAUAAAAAUUAUAAUUUUUUUCUUUUUA
rnacentral:tRNA from 1 species